CUUACCCCAACCGAGCAGAACAAAACAGAGAGCCUCCAUUGGAAGCAGCCCCGCGCUCUACUGUUCCUGUUAGAACCCUAGAUCUCCUCACCCGAGCUACCCCUCUUCCCGCCGCCCCAUAGUGUGUCCAUCUGACGCGUUCUCUACCUGCUCGCCCUCUCCUACUACGGGCGGACCGCACAUCACCAGCCUUCAUGGAACCGGAUGAAGAAGGGGGUCACCCCGGCCUCGACCUUUCGUCCUUUGACCCCGCUUGCCCGACCCCAAGUUCCAGGACUUCACUUCAAAAAGUUUGUUCAAUUAUAUCUACAUUUAACGAUAUUAAAUGCAGACUUGUAGUAGAAAUUGGUUUUGGUGGCAUGUUGCGUCUGCCCGCUAUUUCUAAGCUCAAUUUGAAAUUCAGCACAUGGCUCAUGAGCAUGGUAGAUGGGCCCAACAGAUGCAUCAAACUAUCUCAUGAUAGAUCCAUUAGUUUCUGGCCAGGGGAUAUCCACAAAGUUUUCGGUAUCCCAUGUGACAACCUAGACAUACAAAUCAUUGAAUAUCAACAAGCAGAAAGUUCAGUUCAGUUUUUUAGAUCUGUCUUGGGUAUGCCUGAGAAGGGGAAUCAAGUGCUCAAAUGUGUUGAAUUAGUUAUAAUGAAAGAUCUAAAUGAAUCAACUGCCAUCAAUUUAGAGAUUGACUGUUUCAAUAUGGCUUUCGUGAUCUUUUGCAUGGGCCACAUCCUGACCCCGUCCAGUAAGCACGACCAUGCCAUCAUAGAUUACUGGUCAGCUAUCGCAAACACAGAUAAAAUUACAGAUUUCAACUUCUAUGAUUAUGUGUUUGCUGAUUUACUGGCGGCUUGCUGGAAAGUAAAGCAAGACAUUCAAAACAAUAGACCAGUUACUCACUUGAUGGGAUGCCACCUUUUUUUCCAGCUUCGAUGAAUCGAGGAUCAGGAAGAUGAUAAUCCAGUGCUCUAAAAUUGGCCCCGGGCCCCCAGAUUUCUCCGUAGGCCAGAUACGUCACCAUUCUCAGAUAUGCUACAUGCGCUCUGUUUGGGAUUCAAAAACUGAUGCAAAAUAUGAUGGCAUCAAAGAAACCACUUAUUCCUUCAAAAAAACUAUCGUUACAGAUAGUCCUCAACCCGUUUCUGCUGGAACUUCUUCAUUCUUGACUAACAUUCCUACCCCAUCGGAAUUCUGCAGCAUCCUCAAGUCUAACUACCCACAAUUGGCACAUUCCAAGCUCGGCAUACUCCUCAAUCAGCACAACGCUAUUUCAUUUAAAUCCUGCAAUGAAUUGAAGCGAUCCUUUCAUGAAGAGAACACUAGAUUUCUUCGCAGCCUUCUGUCCACCUUAUCUAAAAGUUGCAUCUGUUGCACGCUCCGUGGGACAACAUGCAUUGCACAAGAACUGCAGCCACCUGAAAGCCCUCUUUUAUCUAAUUUGUACCGGCAUUCGAAGCAGCAGUCUAAGUCUGAAGGCGCCACAUCUGCAGCACCAAAGGAUAAACAUAAGGCUGCCAAUUCGUCUUACACUAUUAAUGAGGUCACACCAUCACACAAGAAAAGCAGGAUAAACUCAUAUGACGCUGAUGACGAUGUUACUCCAAAAAUCACGAAAUUGCAUCAACCAACUGAAGAGUCCAAAUGUUGGGCUGACAGCCUAAUAGGCGGCAUCCUCAUGUUCACCGAUGAGACUGACCCGCCUGAAGAUGCUGUCGUAUUUACUCAGAUCUCACCAUUCAAACCAACCCCCGUAUCUACCUUGCACACAUCUUACGCUGAUUCUCAUUGGACUGAUGGUAGAUUACACAUUCAUCCACCACCAGACGUUCUAAUCGCGAUUCACUCAUAUUUUCGGAACCACCCUCCAAGUGAACUUAGCUGCCCGUGGAUUACACAUGCCAGUCCCCGAUAUUGCUCUCUGGCUGGUAAAACUAUUGUCGACCAGUUGUAUGGAUCCAAGCUUCUUGACCACGAAGCUUGUUGUCUCAUAUUCCUCCGUUUGAAUCAGAUUGAUAACAAAUUGCUAUACCCUGGAUCCACCCCGAAAUGGCGCCGUUACAUCGAAGCUGAUUUCUCUACUGAUGUACUCGCUGACGAAAAUGUAUGGGACAUGGUAUCUGUCCAGAAACAAUUCAUCCCAGAAUAUAUAAGCCAACAACUGCCGAACACGCGCCUAUUCAUUAUCCCAGCUUACCUUCAGUCUGGAUGGAGUGUGUAUUGUUGGGACAUGAAGAGGAAGAUCAUCCACAUGUGCGACCCACUGGCCGAUGCUUCUUCUUACACUGCACAAAAAUCCAGCCACCUAAUUAUUGCAGAAAAGCUUCAUGAUGCCCUCUUCACCUAUUUGAACAAGUUUUCCAGGUCAUGGCAUGUUGACGUAGCUAAUUGGAAGAAAAACUUCCAGUUCCUUUCGGCCACAUUGUUUGACCGCAACGAGAGUGGCGUCUGUAUGAUUCACAUGGCUCGUUACUUCAACGGCAUCGGUCUUGCUACAAAGCUUGACAAUGUAUCCCUCUACUAUAUUCUAUAAACUUAUAUCUUCAUCAUCAUGCUCACAUCCCACCUGUAGUAGAAAUUGGUUUUGGUGGCAUGUUGGGUCUGCCCGCUAUUUCUAAGCUCAAUUUGAAAUUCAGCACAUGGCUCAUGAGCAUGGUAGAUGGGCCCAACAGAUGCAUCAGACUAUCUCAUGAUAGAUCCAUUAGUUUCUGGCCAGGGGAUAUCCACAAAGUUUUCGGUAUCCCAUGUGGCAACCUAGACAUACACAUCAUUGAAUAUCAACAAGCAGAAAGUUCAGUUCAGUUUUUUAGAUCUGUCUUGGGUAUGCCUGAGAACGGGAAUCAAGUGCUCAAAUGUGUUGAAUUGGUUAUAAUGAAAGAUCUAAAUGAAUCAACUGCCAGCAAUUUAGAGAUUGACUGUUUCAAUAUGUAUUUCGUGAUCUUCUGCAUGGGCCACAUCCUGACCCCGUCCAGUAAGCACGACCAUGCCAUCAUAGAUUACUGGUCAGCUAUCGCAAACACAGAUAAAAUUACAGAUUUCAACUUUUGUGAUUAUGUGUUUGCUGAUUUACUGGCGGCUUGCUGGAAAGUAAAGCAAGACAUUCAAAACAAUAGACCAAUUACUCAUUUGAUGGAUGCCACCUUUUUUUCCAGAUCUUCUAUCUUGACAACCUAGACGUUGGCAUGCUAAACCUGCCUCACAAUUCGUACCCACGCAUAUCCAGCUUCGAUGAAUCGAGGAUCAGGAAGAUGAUAAUCCAGUGCUCUAAAAUUGGCCCCGGGCCCCCAGAUUUCUCCGUAGGCCAGAUACGUCACCAUUCUCAGAUAUGCUACAUGCGCUCUAUUUGGGAUUCAAAAACUGAUGCAAAAUAUGAUGGCAUCAAAGAAACCACUUAUUCCUUCAAAAAAAACUAUUGUUACAGACAAUCCUCAACCUGUUUCUGUUGGAACUUCUUCAUUCUUGACUAACAUUCCUACCCCAUCAGAAUUCUGCAGCAUCCUCAAGUCUAACUACCCACAAUUGGCACAUUCCAAGCUCGGCAUACUCCUCAAUCAGCACAACGCUGUUUCAUUUAAAUCCUGCAAUGAAUUGAAGCGAUCCGUUCAUGAAGAGAACACUAGAUUUCUUCACAGCCUUCUGUCCACCUUAUCUAAAAGUUGCAUCUGUUGCACGCUCCAUGGGACAACAUGCAUUGCACAAGAACUGCAGCCACCUGAAAGCCCUCUUUUAUCUAAUUUGUACCGGCAUUCGAAGCAGCAGUCUAAGUCUGAAGGCGCCACAUCUGCAGCACCAAAGGAUAAACAUAAGGCUGCCAAUUCGUCUUACACUAUUAAUGAGGUCACACCAUCACACAAGAAAAGCAGGAUAAACUCAUAUGACGCUGAUGACGAUGUUACUCCAAAAAUCACGAAAUUGCACCAACCAACUGAAGAGUCCAAAUGUUGGGCUGACAGCCUAAUAGGCGGCAUCCUCAUGUUCACCGAUGAGACUGACCCGCCUGAAGAUGUUGUCGUAUUUGCUCAGAUCUCACCAUUCAAACCAACCCCCGUAUCUACCUUGCACACAUCUUACGCUGAUUCUCAUUGGACUGAUGGUAGAUUACACAUUCAUCCACCACCAGACGUUCUAAUCGCGAUUCACUCAUAUUUUCGGAACCACCCUCCAAGUGAACUUAGCCGUCCCCGAUAUUGCUCUCUGGCUGGUAAAACUAUUGUCGACCAGUUGUAUGGAUCCAAGCUUCUUGACCACGAAGCUUGAUGUCUCAUAUUCCGCCGUUUGAAUCAGAUUGAUAACAAAUUGCUAUACCCUGGAUCCACCCCGAAAUGGCGCUGUUACAUCGAAGCUGAUUUCUCUACUGCUAUACUCGCUGGCGAAAAUGUAUGGGACAUGGUAUCUGUCUAGAAACAAUUCAUCCCAGAAUAUAUAAGCCAACAACUACCGAACACGCGCCUAUUUAUUAUCCCAGCUUACCUUCAGUCUGGAUGGAGUGUGUAUUGUUGGGACAUGAAGAGGAAGAUCAUCCACAUGUGCGACCCACUGGCCGAUGCUUCUUCUUACACUGCCCAAAAAGCCAGCCACCUAAUUAUUGCAGAAAAGCUUCAUGAUGCCCUCUUCACCUAUUUGAACAAGUUUUCCAAGUCAUGGCAUGUUGACGCAGCUAAUUGGAAGAAAAACUUCCAGUUCCUUUCGGCCACAUUGUUUGACCGCAACAAGAGUGGCGUCUGUAUGAUUCACAUGGCUCAUUACUUCAACGUCAUCGGUCUUGCUACAAAGCUUGACAAUGAAACACUUGGUCAUCAGAAGAAACUCAUGGCGGCCGAGUUACUCCAGUUAGAUGGCAACCUCGCCAUCCUCCCAGCAACGUUGACAAAAAUCUUACAUGGCUAGUAUAAGGAAGAAUAGUUCUUCGAAACCAGUACUCCGUGAUGUACGCACAUCAUCUAUAUCUGAACUCCAUACUAAGUUUCAUAUAUCAGCAAUUUUUUUAGCGAACAAUGUAACGGAUAUUCGAAUCUACCCCCUGUUUUAAAGAUUUACUAUUAUUAUUCAACUAUUUUAUUCCUAGCUUCAAAAUAUUCCUUUUUUU
rnacentral:rRNA from 1 species